GACGAACGCUGGCGGCGUGCUUAACACAUGCAAGUCGAACGGAAAGGCCCUGCUUUUGUGGGGUGCUCGAGUGGCGAACGGGUGAGUAACACGUGAGUAACCUGCCCUUGACUUUGGGAUAACUUCAGGAAACUGGGGCUAAUACCGGAUAGGAGCUCCUGCUGCAUGGUGGGGGUUGGAAAGUUUCGGCGGUUGGGGAUGGACUCGCGGCUUAUCAGCUUGUUGGUGGGGUAGUGGCUUACCAAGGCUUUGCCGGGUAGCCGGCCUGAGAGGGUGACCGGCCACAUUGGGCCUGAGAUACGGCCCAGACUCCUACGGGAGGCAGCAGUGGGGAAUAUUGCACAAUGGGCGGAAGCCUGAUGCAGCAACGCCGCGUGCGGGAUGACGGCCUUCGGGUUGUAACCCGCUUUCGCCUGUGACGAAGCGUGAGUGACGGUAAUGGGUAAAGAAGCACCGGCUAACUACGUG
rnacentral:rRNA from 1 species